AUGGCGGCCAGCGCCGGCAGCAAGAUCCGCAACGCCAAACUGGUUCUUCUUGGCGAUGUGGGUGCUGGGAAAUCCAGCCUGGUGCUUCGGUUCGUAAAAGGACAAUUUGUUGAGUUCCAGGAAUCGACAAUUGGAGCGGCUUUCUUCUCUCAAACAUUGGCCGUUAAUGACGAGACUGUUAAGUUUGAAAUCUGGGAUACAGCUGGGCAGGAGAGGUAUCACAGCUUGGCCCCCAUGUACUAUAGGGGUGCUGCCGCAGCCAUAGUUGUCUAUGACAUCUCGAACCAGGCAUCCUUCACCCGAGCAAAGAAAUGGGUUCAAGAACUUCAAGCUCAAGGAAACCAGAAUACAGUAGUGGCUCUUGCUGGCAACAAAGCUGAUUUGCUCGAGGCGAGGGAGGUUCAAAUAGAGGAAGCCAAGACAUAUGCGCAGGAGAAUGGCCUCUUCUUCAUGGAAACGUCUGCUAAAACUGCAACCAAUGUGAAUGACAUAUUUUAUGAGAUUGCGAAGAGAUUGCUUCAGGGGCAGGCGGCGCAGAACCCACAGACGGCGGGGAUGGUUCUCUCCCAGAGACCCAAUGAGAGAGUGGUCAGCGCGGCUUCGUGCUGCUCCUCCUGA
rnacentral:rRNA from 1 species